AGAGUUUGAUCCUGGCUCAGGAUAAACGCUGGCGGCGUGCCUAACACAUGCAAGUCGAACGCUCUUGGAAACAAGGGAGUGGCGGACGGGUGAGGAACACGUGGGUCAUCUACCUUGGGGUGGGGAAUACCGGCGAGAAAUCCCGACAAUACCGCAUAGGUUUGGAAACAAACAAAGCUGGGAGCAAUCCUGGCGCCACAAGAUGAGCCUGCGGCCGAUUAGCUAGCUGGUGGGGUAAAAGCCUACCAGGGCUUCGAUCGGUAGCUGGUCUGAGAGGACGAUCAGCCGCACUGGGAUUGAGAACGGCCCAACUCCUACGGGGGGCAGCAGUGAGGAAUUUUCGUCAAUGGGGGAAACCCUGAACGAGCAACGCCGCGUGCAGGAAGAAGGUUUUCGGAUCGUAACUGCUUUUCUUGGGGAAGAGAACGGACGGUACCCAGGGAAGAAGCCCCGGCUAACUACGUGCCAGCAGCCGCGGUAAUACGUAGGGGGCAAGCGUUGUCCGGAUUUAUUGGGCGUAAAGCGCACGCAGGCGGUCUGGUAAGUUUCGAGUGACAGGUGGUGGCUUAACUGCCACAGGCCUUGGAAAACUGCCAGACUUGAGGACUUCAGAGGGAUGCGGAAUUCCAGGUGGAGCGGUGAAAUGCGUAGAGAUCUGGAAGAACACCAAUGGCGAAGGCAGCAUCCUGGGAAGUAACUGACGCUCAGGUGCGAAAGCCAGGGGACGAACGGGAUUAGAUACCCUAGUAGUCC
rnacentral:rRNA from 1 species